rnacentral:lncRNA from 1 species
AUUUUCACAACAUUCUUGUGAGGCAGAUGAGCAUGAAAGAUUUUAUCUUAUCCCAAGGUCAUCCUGUGAGUUGUUUGGCUCAUUGGAGCCUGAAACCUGGAUUUCUCAAGUUCCCAGAGCGUCACCUAUGAUGAGGUCAUCUGAAAAUGGUAGAAAGCUGGUCCCCAUGAAGUUGUGGACCAGCUUUUUAUUAUCAUGUUUAUUAUGGGGCUGAAUAUCUCUUAGAAAAUGGACCAGACGGAAGCCUAUUGUUGAAACUUGGCAUUUUUUCGUUUGAUGUAAUGAAUGCUGCUGGCAAUAAGCCCUGAAGCAAACUGAAACUUCCUUGCAACCUUUAGCAAUAUGACUUGACAGAACUACUUUGAUAAUAAAGGAGCUUGUCUUGUUGAGUAUCAGCUCUACAGAAUGGCCUUGUGCAUUUUCUGAGGCAAAGCAAAUGGGUCAGUUAAAAGGCUAAAAAAAAAGCAUCUGUAAUUGAGAAACAGCUUCCUUGUCCUUAGUUUUAUUUAGAGCCCAGGCUACCCCAGCUAUAGAUCUUAAGGUGAGGUAGAUUCUUUGACGAUAAAGAAUGGGUGGUUGUUGCACCUGAAGAAGUAAUUGUUCCUUUAGAAGCAAGAGAAAAGUUACCAAAUCUUAUUAAACUAGCCUUUUUCGGUGAAAAAUGAGAAGUUUUUGAAAUUCUCUAUUGUUGAAUAAAUGUCUUUGAGGUUGCCUUAUUAAUGGCCUUUCAGCAGGUUUUCAUUUCCAGGCGCAGACAAUGGAAUAUUAUUUUCGGCUAAAUGGCUUGCUUUGCCCUUGCCCUGCCCUCCAGCUUCACUCCCUCCCAUCCUGUGGGGGAAAAUGUUGUCAUCUUUGUCUCUGAAGCAGGGCUGUUUCCCAAGUGUGCACAGAUCUGUAUGGUGUAAAGAUUUUCUUCUGUUCUUCUGGCUCUUCAGAAGCUGAUUUCCCCAUUUGUGAGUGAUUCGUUGCUUGACUCUACUAUCUUAUGAUGUGUGACUAUACUGUAUGGUAUUUUGAUAUGUUUUGAUUUUAAAGAUGUAUUUUACAUAAGAAAAUGUGUCUGUGAUGUCAUAGUUUUAAACGGUCCUUGUCAAUUUUUUAGGUCAAUGAAACAAAACAAUAUAAAGGAACAAUAUAAAGGAUAGUUUAUUGAAAGCAUCCUUUUAACUAGAUGUUUGGGGACAAAACUGCCCAUUCUUUGCUUAUGUUCACUGAUAAUAUGGGCCAGAAUGGUGUGGUUUCAGGAUAAUUAACUGGAAGUGUAAGAAUGCAGACAUCAUUGUCCUAUGUUUUCUUUGACAAAAGAUAAGCCUAGCUUUAUUUGUGUUAUACUCACAAGGGCUCUCCCUUCUGUUAGGCAGUAGAGGCCUGAAGUGAUAUCAGAUGCCUCCUUGGCCAUUACCCCUCAGCAUCUUUUCCAUCUUUUGGAGGACAGAGCUGUAUGCGUGUCUCUCCCAUAGCUUGUCCCAUUGUACUUUCUGAACUAGCCACCUUUGGGUGUGGUGAAGGCCACCAGUCCUUCAUCUGUGUAGGAGUCAAAUUCACUUGCCAUAUCUAGCCCUGUUUGGUUCUGUACAAAGAAGAGGAGGGAAGGGCAGGAUGCUGUACUGUACAUGACUUAAAGUUGCAAAAUACUUCGGGCCAGCUGUUAACCUUUCUUAAAGAAGAGGAGGGAAGGGCAGGAUGCUGUAUAUGGCCUAAAGUUGCAAAAUACUUUGGGCCAGCUGUUAACCUUUCUUCUUUUCUCCCUUGCUCCUUUUCAUUAAACA